GAUGAACGCUAGCUACGGGCUUAACACAUGCAAGUCGAGGGACCGGCGCACGGGUGAGUAACACGUAUCCAACCUGCCGACAACACUGGGAUAGCCUUUCGAAAGAAAGAUUAAUACCGGAUGGUUGUCGAUGGGGAUGCGUUCCAUUAGGCAGUUGGCGGGGUAACGGCCCACCAAACCUACGAUGGAUAGGGGUUCUGAGAGGAAGGUCCCCCACAUUGGAACUGAGACACGGUCCAAACUCUACGGGAGGCAGCAGUGAGGAAUAUUGGUCAAUGGACGAGAGUCUGAACCAGCCAAGUAGCGUGAAGGAUGACUGCCUAUGGGUUGUAAACUUCUUUUAUACGGGAAUAUGUACCGUAUGAAUAAGGAUCGGCUAACUCCGUGCCAGCAGCCGCGGUAAUACGGAGGAUCCGAGCGUUAUCCGGAUUUAUUGGGUUUAAAGGGAGCGUAGGCGGGUUGUUAAGUCAGUUGUGAAAGUUUGCGGCUCAACCGUAAAAUUGCAGUUGAUACUGGCGUCCUUGAGUGCGGUUGAGGUGUGCGGAAUUCGUGGUGUAGCGGUGAAAUGCUUAGAUAUCACGAAGAACUCCGAUUGCGAAGGCAGCACACUAAUCCGUAACUGACGUUCAUGCUCGAAAGUGUGGGUAUCAAACAGGAUUAGAUACCCUGGUAGUCCGCACGGUAAACGAUGAAUGCUCGCUAUG
rnacentral:rRNA from 1 species